rnacentral:rRNA from 1 species
AUUGAACGCUGGCGGCAUGCCUUACACAUGCAAGUCGAACGGUAACAGGUCUUCGGAUGCUGACGAGUGGCGAACGGGUGAGUAAUACAUCGGAACGUGCCCGAUCGUGGGGGAUAACGAGGCGAAAGCUUUGCUAAUACCGCAUACGAUCUACGGAUGAAAGCGGGGGAUCUUCGGACCUCGCGCGGACAGAGCGGCCGAUGGCAGAUUAGGUAGUUGGUGGGAUAAAAGCUUACCAAGCCGACGAUCUGUAGCUGGUCUGAGAGGAUGAUCAGCCACACUGGGACUGAGACACGGCCCAGACUCCUACGGGAGGCAGCAGUGGGGAAUUUUGGACAAUGGGCGAAAGCCUGAUCCAGCCAUGCCGCGUGCAGGAUGAAGGCCUUCGGGUUGUAAACUGCUUUUGUACGGAACGAAAAGCCUCUUUCUAAUAAAGAGGGGUCAUGACGGUACCGUAAGAAUAAGCACCGGCUAACUACGUG